UGCUGCAAUGAUUAUGCAUAACAGGUGGAGUGGGGUGGCCGCAACCAAGAGGGAGCUGGUUUGACUGUCGGGGAGGAAGUGGAAGCAGUCAAUUCAUUUAUGUCUCGUGCUGCAUUGACAACAAAAUAUAUGACCAAAUGUGCACGCACAGAUAUGAUCACUAUCCAUGUUCGUGGAUGGAACCUAAGGAAAAAGUUAAAUCUUCACAAUUAUCUUGCUCAAAGAUAUGUUAAGCUCCGAGUACCAUCAGUUCAAAUGAUCCACAGGGGCUGCAGCGUCUAAUGGAAGGCUUGGUCCUUAAAAUCCAACAAAAGAAAAUGGAGUUGUACAGAGAGACAGACAGCAACAAAGACAGGCGACGCAAGCGAUCUGCCAUUGCUAAAGAGAAGAGCAAACUAGAAGAGGCCAUAACAUCAUACAAUGCUCUUGUCCCAAAUGCAGAGGCUGUGGAUCCAGCAGACACCCUUUUAGCACAAGACUUUUCAAUAUGGCCUUGGGAAACAGAAUCCACUGUGCCCUGGAGACAAAAGAAGAUUGUGUUUGACAAGACAAUGCUGUUGUCUCGUUUAAAAGAAGAAAAGGCUAUUCUCAUUAAAGAGAUGAAACAACACUGGCAGUUCCUGAAUGGUGUCUCCAAGACAUUAGGUGAUGAUAUAAAGUUGGUCAGAGGUGACUUGAAAGAAGGGAUCUGUCCUAGUAACAUGUCUGUGGAGGCAUUUGAGGGACUGUGCUGCAUUAUGUUGGCAAGAUUGAGUGACCUACAACAUCAAAUGAGUGAGGUGAAGUAAAAAUAUAGGCAGAUUGUGGUGGAUCCAAGUGUUCUCUCAAUUGAUGAGGAAGAUGGAGAAGCAGUUUGUGAGGAAUUUCCUUACCUCCAUGAUGACAUUGAUUUAUCCGAUGAAGAUAAUGAUAAAUAAUGUACUAGAUCACUAACCAUAAACUCUGCAACCUUCUCCUAAUGCUCAGUCGGACCAAAUGGAAGAACAGUUGGGAGCCUUUGUCCUGCCUUUGAGAUGUUGGAGUUAGCACCAGUUUGGAGUUUGUCAUUGUAAUUUUAAUCAGUGAAAAUAAAAAAGAAUAUCAUU